AGGAUGAACGCUGGCGGCGUGCCUAACACAUGCAAGUCGAACGUCCUGUCUCGCAAGAGGCAGGGAGUGGCGGACGGGUGAGUACCACGUGGGUCAUCUACCGUGAGGUGAGGAAUACCGGCGAGAAAUCGCCGACAAGACCGCAUAGGCUCGAUGCAAGUCGAGCAAAGCUCUUUCGAGAGAGGGAGCGCCACACGAGGAGCCUGCGCCCGAUUAGCUAGCUGGUGGAGUAACGGUUCACCAGGGCGACGAUCGGUAGCUGGUCUGAGAGGACGAUCAGCCACACUGGGAUUGAGAACGGCCCAGACUCCUACGGGGGGCAGCAGUGAGGAAUUUUCGUCAAUGGGGGCAACCCUGAACGAGCAACGCCGCGUGCAGGAAGAAGGUUUUCGGAUCGUAAACUGCUUUUCUCGGGGAAGAGAACGGACGGUACCCGAGGAAUCAGCCCCGGCUAACUACGUGCCAGCAGCCGCGGU
rnacentral:rRNA from 1 species